rfam:Parcubacteria bacterium GW2011_GWA2_47_21 TX94_C0007, whole genome shotgun sequence.
GGGCGCAUAGCUCAGUGGUAGAGCGUUGCAUUCACAUUGCAAAGGUCGUAGGUUCGAUACCUACUGCGCCCA